GAUGGGGUGGGAUGGGAUGGCUGCUAAAAUAUACAAAAAUAUUAAUGAUUCCACAAGUAUAAGGUGUAUUUUGGAGUAUCACAGCCUGUGACUGUGUUAACAGCACACAAUCGUGGCAUAAGCUGUUGACAGGAGGUGGCAGGGGGAAAAAUAACCAGAGAUGGCUACAGUGUGAAAAGGGAGCGAAGAGGAGGAAAAAUAGGUUUGGCUGUAUGUGUACUUCUGUAUUGAAGUGAAUACAAAUGGCAGUGUAUCUUGGCUAACCAGAUGGCAAUUUAUACAUGGAUUGUGGAAGAUGGAGGUAUUUUUAACAGAUCCUUCCAUAGAAAUGGAUACCCCGAUAGGAGGGGAUGGGAUCAUUGAGUUCUCUCUGGCAUGAGAUCAGAGACCUUCUUGGUUCACUUUACAGUAGUCUCAGUGGAGACAUGAAGGAGCAGCCCGAAGAACAGCCUGAUGCACUGCUCUGUGGGCAACAAAACUAGAUAAUAUGUUUUGGAUAGCACGAGUUGUUGCAUUUGGUGCACGCUUCAGACCUGUAGAUGUUUUAGGGUGUCAGAUUUUACCAUUCCCCAUGUAGAGGUCUAUCUUUACUAGUUGGGUUUACCUAAAAUUUCCAGAACUCUCCAUAGCAGUGUUCCUUUAAGAGUUCCUCCUGUUUUAAUACUUCUUUCUCUCUCCACAAAAUAUGGAGUACAUUCAGGCUAUCAGAACUGAACACUACUUACCUCAUUGGGACUGAGGCCUGAAUAGGGCUGAACCGAGAUCCUGCUGCACAGUUCUUGCUAGUGCAAAUCGAAUCACAGGACAACAUACAUCAUCACUAGGCUGAGAACACAGGGGAAGAAGGUCCAUUAUUAGAUGUGAAACGGGGGCCACAUUUGCAUUCAUUGUCUAUAGUGGACUCUGUUUCAAGCCAAAGGAAUGAACCUCCCUCUCCUUGUGUGUGUUACAAACAAGCAGGAGAUUCUACUGCUUUCUGUUGAGUUCGGUAAUGUAUCAUUUUACCUACACUCGGCAGUAUGCUGUGCUUUUCCUGCCUAACAUCUGCUGCAGUUUUCAUAGCUUGAAUUGCUCUUUAACCAGUUGUGAAAGGCACGUUUCAGAAGUGUCUUUAAGGAUGUGAGUUAUUAUUCACCCUUUUCUUCGUCCUCUGUGUUUCUUAUUUGACUUCUUAAAGAAAGAAGAAAAAAGAAGUUCAAAGUUUUGAUUCAUGUUUAUGUUAAAAAUAGCAGGAUUAGUAAGGCUAACUCAUGGCAGUAGGAUUUUAGUGCCGUUUCAGAAAGUAAUUUCUUUUUGUGUAACAAUAAACUGGCAUUUAAUCUCCUUCAGUUCUUAGAAGCUGAGCUAUAAAUCAGUCUUCACUUAAGACAGCAGUGGCUCUGGCAGGUUGCUUCUAACUGGCACUUCUUAGUGCUGUGCUAUUGGUGUGCGUUCUUUCCACAUCCACCUGAAAACUCUGGCAUUUACUGUUCCGAAGCUUUUGCAUCGUUUGUAUUUCAUACAUUGUUUUUCUAUUACUCAAUGUAUGCCAAAGAUUUUCUGAAUACACUUUUAAACCACGUUUUGUUUGGUUUUUAAUAAAAUAACCUUAAUAAUAACAUCUGAGGUCCAGCAUUUCAAUUUUCACGCUUGUUUCAUGUAAAUGUGCUUAGUUGUUUUUUCCUCCAUUAAGCCUCACAGCUUUGCCUUGGACUCUCCAUUGCACAGGGCGGCAUUUACUCAGCUCAUGACAUCAGAUGUGACAAACCCCUACUCUUAUAAAGGCUACCUGGGAAAUAAAGUUGUUACGAAGACGUUUUGAACGAAAGAGUUUGUGCAAAUAUAACUCAGAGCAGAAAUUGGUCUAAAGCAAUUCAAUCAUUGAUGAUGCAUAAAGAACCAGAGGUGGGGUUGAGAGCGAUGUUGUGAGUGGGUGAAAAACAUAUUUUAAUAUAAACUGCAGGAAAUCUGGUAUUUGCAUCCCCAAGAGAAUGAACCAGAACCCAAAAAUGACAGUACUGAAUGAUUUCCAGUAAGUAUCUGAGACUAUUUGAGCAGUAAUAAGAUAACAAUGCUGUCUAGUCUGUGCAGGACAAGAGUUAGUGAUUCAGUCCCUUUGUGAUGCAGGUGGCGUCUUGCUCCACCCAGACAUAAAAGAGGACAGUUUACCUCCUGGAGGAGAGGUGGUCCUUAUGAAUUAUAAAGUUUGGAACUUGGAACACCUAAAAUCAGAGAAAUGUCAGGAGAAGGUUUAAGGGCUGUGUUUUUCUGUGACUCGUUAUGACUGAGCCAAUACAUUGUACGAUCACGCCAAAACAAAACGUGUUCCAGUUUGUAACUUGACGUAACUUUUAGGGUCACAAGGAUGUUAAGUUUGAAGAGUUCUUGGUGGGGAUGCUGCCAAGUUGUACAAUUCGAUGUCGAUUGCUGCGUGUCAAGGAACAGUAAUGAAUGAGUGAAUGUAUUGGCCCACUAAGCUGUGCAGAGCAGCAAAACUCGCUCCCUCUUUUGCUCUGCUGAAAAUAAUUAAGAGAAACAAGGUUUGAAGUUUCACAGAAACAACUGGACUUUCUUGCAGAAGAACAUACAAACUGUGACUUCCCUCAUUAAUCAUCUUCUCUAAACGAGAUGUGGCAUUUCUUGCUCGCCAUUUUGUCCAGUUGCUACUAAAUGAUUAGUUUACACAGAUGGAUGGGUUUACUGCCCUAGCUAGAAAAUAAAGUAACAGUGAACUCUGUUCUGAAGAACUCUGCAGUAAUGAAAGGCUAUUACAAGUAACCUCAUGCAGGAGAAAAAAAAAUUGACAAUAAGGAAUAAGUUAACAUAGAAAACUUGGCCCUCCAUCUGGAGUAUCAUUUCCUUUGGGUUGGCAGUUUUCCCCUUCUUGCGUUAUGAGAGAUAAAAUAUUUGUCUGACUGCUGCAGAAGUUGCACUGGUUUCUUCUGUCAACUGUGGGAACUCGUCCCAUAUUUAAUUGAGUUAUUGGAUUAGUUUGGAGUUUCAAAAAUGAGCAAAAGCUCGUUAAAGGAAUAGGGGCAUGGCCUUCAACUCUGCGUCUGAUAGGGGGGAUAUAUUUUAGGUAGAGUAAGAAAGUAACAUCCAGUCUGGAGUAAUAUCCCUGACUGUCUUGUACUGCUGGAGAAUUCAGAAGAAACCAACAGUGUGUAAGAGCCUUUCUUGCUGUGCUUUCAUUAAGUCCGAGGCAGCUCAAUAAAGAAGCUACAGCAUGAUUUAUUUUAAUCAAUCAAUACGGAGAAUUCAUUAAAAUAAACUUGGCAAAAUCUCACUUACAUACUUCUUACAUUCCAAAUCCACAAAAUGUUAAGAUACCAUCUCAUUUCACUAUAAUCACCAGAACAAACCCCCUUUACCACAUUUCUUUCAUUUUCUUUGCACUGUGCUGUUCCUGCACUUCUAUCUACACCAACUUUCCAGCUCAGCGUCGUUUGUGUCUGUUUUCCCUGUGAUGUCACCAGGAUUAGUCAGGUUGCUUCUACCAUCCCAUUCAGUUCAGUAAGAGCACUUGGCAGACUGAUGAGGGUUGGAGUAAGGAGAACAAUUCAGCCAUUGCUGUCACCUGAAGGCGACUUUCAGAAAUGCACAUGUGAUUAUUCUUGCAUUUAUAAUCUACAGAAACAUGGAUCUUGAUCAAUUUGUUUUAUGUACACUGAAAGUUUUACCAACUGUGCCCUGUUAAUUCUAUUUGGUGUUUCUUAUUGCUACACUACAAUGUGUAUAUUGGAGCACAAACACCAUCCUCUUUUUAAAUAACAACUCUGUUUAAAGAGAGGAGCACUGCAGGGCUUUUAAAUGAUUUAGAUAAGGGUGUAGGAACAAAGAAUGCUCCCAGCUCUGUUCCUAUAACUUACCAUCACUACGCUUUGUGACAAAACAAAUGCCAAUCACAUGCCAAAUAUUUUCAUCUACAGCAACUGCUGUUUCAGAGCUGACAUGGCUCUAACCUGUUCUUGGUACUGACCAAAAAACCAAGCAAGAUGAAGAUUUCUCUUUUAUGGUUCAUUUCAGGUUAGAUUGUUUGUUUGAUGAAGAUGAGGGAUUGGGGGGCAGCUCACGAAGAAAGAGGAUAAAGCUGAUUGCCAUUACUGGCCAGCUGUUAGGCAGGUGUCCAGUAAAAACUACUUCUGAGGGUGCAAAAAGACAACAGGCAGGAAAUGUCUUAUAAUUGUGCUGACUGGAAAAGUUCAAGCAGCCUUCAGGUCUCCAGGGAGCUCCAGUUGUAAGUGCAUGCUGCCCUGCUUUUGAUGCACAGAACGGAGAGUGUAGUAACAUCACACCUUCUGGGUUCCUAUCUGCUCUGGCUUUAUCUGAUACACAAAGGAGCAUUAAAGGGAGCAUAAAACAGGAGGGGGAAUGGCUGUAUAUGAGGGUGGAUAGGUGAUAAGACAAGGG